rnacentral:ncRNA from 1 species
ACGGACUUGAAUUUUGAGCCUUAUUAGAGAAAUCUACUAAGUGAUUGUUUUCACAUUCAGGGAAACCUAAGGUUUGAGAUAUGAGGUAAUCCUGAGCCAAAUUUUAAUUAUGAAAUAGGUGCAGAGACUCGAAGGAAACUAUCCUAACGAAAAAUUUUUCUCUCUUUUUUUUUUAUUACGAGUAUUGCUUUAUUACACAGUACAAAAUAUAUUCGAAAUAAUUAAAAUAUCUGAAUACUAAUAUAAAUAUUAGUUUUUUCAAUAAAUAAUAAUAGACGAGGAUAAAGAUAGAGUCCUUUUUUACAAUCUAUAUAGUUUUAUACUUAAUAAAUAAUUGUAAAAAGAAAAUCCGUUGGCUUUAAUAGACCUUGAGGGUUCAAGUCCCUCUACCCCCAU